rnacentral:tRNA from 3 species
GCGCGGUUAGCUCAGUUGGUUAGAGCGCGUCUUUGACGUAGACGAGGCCGGGGAUUCGAAUUCCUCACCGCGCACCG